CCAUGGGAAUAUGAGACACAAGACUGUUAAGGAAAGGAAAUUAUUUUUACUCGGCAAACUCAUAAUGCUCGUCAAGACCAGAAAGCACGUACUCUGAUUUUCUGUUGCAGACUCAAAGGGGUUUUAUGUACUCAAAAUUUGUCCUUUUUAUUUUUUUUUAAUUGCAGUCCUAAUCUAAUAUUUAAGUCUAUAGAACAACCCAUUAGAAAAAGACCCUUUGCCCCGUAAUAUUUGCCCUCAUUAGUAUUGCUGCAAAGGUAGUAAUCAGUAAUUUUUCACUUGCUCUGCUAAAUCAUUGGCAAAUGUAUUGUUUACUGGUUAAAUGCUUAGUUGCUUUAGCAAAGAAAAUAGGAUCUUAAAUAGGUUAUUUUUGUGGGUUUUUUUUCCAAUGAAGUGGGACCAGUAAGAGAUAAUAGUAUCAGGGAAGUGCAAUAUUUGCAAAAAUUCUGUACUAAAAGCUUGCUGUUAAUUUACCAGCGUUAACUUGCUUUUGUAAUCAUGCCUUAGUCUGUUUUUAAAAGCUGUAUAAAGUGGAUUGAAAAAUAUACUUUCCAGCUGAUGUAGGCUCUGUAUAACUUAGGUGGGUGUGAGGUCACAGCUAUGUUGAUAAACUUAAGCAUAGACUAGACAGUAGUCUUGCAGCACAUUUUUAAAACAGGGUUAGUAACAAUUUUCAGGGCUAUAAAUUGUUUUACACAUCACUUGGUGGUCUUUAAGUGAAAAACACUGUGCUCUUAGUAUGACAUAUUUCCGAUUCUGUCAGAGAAUUCUGAUGUCUUCUGUUCACUUCUCUGUUUCCCUCUGGCAUAAGCAGCAGUAGCCUGUGAUCAGCUAGUAAGGCCAAAAGAAAGCCCUGAGGGUUAGUGUUCUCAGCUGUGCUGCCUCAUCCCAGCUUCUCUGCUAAAGUGACAGCAGGUGAUCCCUCGGAACUUAAGCAGGCAGGGCAGCUGCAUCUGGUCAGUAGAGGUGCAUCAAAAAAGGGGCAGUCUCAGAGGGGGACAAUACUUCUAUUGCUUUAGUUUUGGGGUGCUGGCUUAAGAUUUUGUUUCUCUAAGAAGCUGUCUUUUAUUAAUAGGUGUACCAAACUGGGGAAAUUAUGGAGGGAUUUGAUGCUUAAAUCAUUGGAGGUGUUCCUGGUAGAGAGAAGUGACUUGUAGAUGAACAGAAUAACAACAAAGUAAGUCUGAGUUGAUGAGCUAAAAAAUUCUUUGUGAAAAAAUGUUAUAGGUAUGGUAGUUGUUGCAGGAAAUAGGCAUCUGCCACAUAGUCCAUGUUAGGAAUUAUGUGGAUUAUGCGGAUGCCCCCUCAGCAGGGCUCAGCCUUGGGUUCCUGCUUGAAGAAGACGAGUUGCCAGUCUGCUGAAUAAAUAAGUGGUUUAUUUAGCUGACAUGCAAAGCAGCUUGAGCUGGGUGCCUCUGAAGAGGGAUCCCUACUGCAGGUUGUGUACCCCUAUUACACCCUUACAGACCGUUUUCCCAGAAUGUACCAUUCAUCGCCUAAUCUGCAAAUCCAAUCACUUAAUUCUGGUGGGUGGUCUCUUGAUUUCUUAUUGGUUUUCUUGGUCACUGGGCUGGCCUUGUUCUAAAAUUACCUCAUUCCCUUGGAAUUGUUCGUUGGUCCAUUUCUUCUUCAUUUUGCUUGUAUCUGCUGGUUUCAGCUAGUUUUGUAUUUGCAACAUUAGCUUUAUCAAAAAGUUUACUAUUGGUCAGCUCUUGCAGCCUAAGGCUUCCACUACUUGAGUUUCUAAUGCUAAGCAAGGCUAUUAAUCCUAACAAUUCUCAACAGCAGUGGUAACUUACCUGCUUCUGCUGUCUGUGUGAUGAGGCUUCUCAACUCUCAAAGCCACAGAAAUCUUCCAGCAAAAGGGGG